rnacentral:lncRNA from 1 species
GUCAGGUAGCUGUCAGCUGUGACCUUUUGCCACUUGUGUUGUCCAUUCACUCUAUUGACUACAAUACACUCAAAACCAAUUUGGCAAAUUAGUGGAAUAAAAAAGCCAUCAAGGUUAUCAAAGACAGGUGGCAGUUUUGUCAGGUGCUCAUAGAGAAUCAUGAGGAAGUACUGCCUGGUUUGCCUGCAGUUCUGCUCUGUGCCUAGAGACUGGCCCAGAUGGACAGCUGCUGGGACUGCUCCUCUGCCUGCUACUGCAGGAGGGAGGACCACUGAAUUCAAUGCAUGUUAUACGCCUUAGGGCUGUUGAAGAUCCCAAUGGAGAAAUAGCAUCUUUGAGAGAUGACACCAUGCUGCCUGGUUCUAAGGAAGUUCCAAAAAUACCUUCUUCUCUUCAGGGAAUGAAACAAAUAACCCUUACCUCAGAGCUGCCUACACUGACAUCUCCUAAUUACCUGGGCACUUCAGCAUCCUGUACUGAAAAUCCAAAUUUUUGAAUAUGGAUUUUACCAAAGUGCAUCACAAAACCAUCUCUGCACCAUACUUGUACCCAAUAUUAAAAAAAAAAAAGGGAGUUUUACAAAGAUACAUUUAAAAAAAUGUUUUUGAAAACUAAAGAUACCAGUAGUUAGAGCUAGUCCAAUCCACAAAUACAGGUCAGUUUUCACAUGCUCUGAAUUAUUCAAAAUUAAUUGUUCCCAAAGGUGUAUUUUGUGCAAUAAGGUCAGUAAAAAGGUGGCUA